rnacentral:rRNA from 1 species
ACAUACGACCAUAGGGUGUGGAAAACAGGGCUUCCCGUCCGCUCAGCCUUCCUUAAGCCACACGCCGGUGAGUUAGUAGUUGGGUGGGUGACCACCAGCGAAUCCUCACUGUUGUAUGUUU